rnacentral:rRNA from 1 species
GGACCCGCACAAGCAGCGGAGCAUGUUGUUUAAUUCGACGCAACGCGAAAAACCUUACCAAAUCUUGACAUCCCUGUGACCGCUCAUAUAAAGUGAGUUUUCUCUUCGGAGACAUAGGAGACAGGUGGUGCAUGGUUGUCGUCAGCUCGUGUCGUGAGAUGUUGGGUUAAGUCCCGCAACGAGCGCAACCCCUAUCUUUAGUUGCCAUCGGGUCAAGCCGGGCACUCUAGAGAGACUGCCGGAGACAAUCCGGAGGAAGGUGGGGAUGAUGUCAAAUCAUCAUGCCCUUUAUGAUUUGGGCUACAAACGUGCUACAAUGGUCGGUACAACGGGUCGCUAACCGGUAACGGGGCGCUAAUCCAAAAAGCCGAUCUCAGUUCGGAUUGAGGGCUGCAACUCGCCCUCAUGAAGUUGGAGUUGCUAGUAAUCGCGAAUCAGCAUGUCGCGGUGAAUGCGUUCCCGGGUCUU